AAGUCGUAACAAGGUCUCCGUAGGUGAACCUGCGGAAGGAUCAUUAACAUCGUAUCCCGAUUAUCAACCAACGUGAACUCGUUUUCUUUCUCCCAAGCAUGGACAUGAAUAGGAAUUCAGCUGUCGCUCAGAGUGGGGCUCUACUUGACGGUGGAGUCGGAGGCAGUUGUACCACAGAGGCUUCGGCCUCGACUAUUGAAGUCCACCGUUUGGCAUUUUUUCUCGCUAUCGCAACGGCUGCUCUGGCUGGGAUAGUGGGAGUCAUUAACCAUUUUCACCCCUUUUUGCUAGUUGACUUUUUAUAUGUUAAGUCAUUGUUUAUUCAAUGAUUUACACGUUUAUUUAUUUGAACGUUAAAAAAACAACUCUUAGCAAUGGAUAUCUUGGUUCUC
rnacentral:misc_RNA from 1 species